CUUAGAGGUGAUUAAUCAUAAUUACCCUUUUUACUUAUCAUAUUUUGGCUUGACUUAAGGUCUGCCUAGACAACUAAAUAGCCACAAACAUCCAAUAGUAAUGUUAGUUGCCCAAAGACAUAUACAUGAAAUUAAAUGAUAACAACAUAUAUUUAAGUUAGUGGAGGAAGUUGGACUCUUCUAUAUUGGGCUGGCAAAGCAAGCCAGGCCCCGAUUCAUCCUAAGGGGCGGCAGACUUCAGCAUACGAGGAAAUAGCCCAGUUCUUGAAAUUGGGCCUGAGUUAUGAAUGAACUCAACAAGCACAAUCGAUCAUGCAUAGAAAAGAAAGAGAAAACAAUUAGUAUAUAUUCAACAUGAAGUAAACUAAUUAUAACAAAAGAUCUAAAGAAUACAGUAAAGCUAAUUUUAUUUGUGCUAACCCUAUAAAGAUUAGUUGAGGUCAGUGACCAAAGGCUUAGGGUGACCAUAUUAUUUAUGAAAUACCCCUAUGGGCCCCUGACACUUCAGAGUUCACAAGGGUCUCAUGAACCCCGAGUAGUGCUUGAGUCAUGGAGGGGUACCUCAACCACAAAAUCAAGCUCAUACCCAAAUACCCUUGAUCAUUGACUCUUACUCUUCCUCAAAUGUUUUGACACAAACAAAGUAUAAAUUUAACAGUUUCACAUUAUCAGCAUGAACGAAGUAAGUACAAAAGAUUCAUCAUAAACCUUUCAGAGGUUGAGCCACACAAAAGUAUUAACAACUUGGAAUCACACAACCAUAUUAGAUAUUACAUCUAUCAUUAGUGUACACAUGUAUAAGUAGCUUAGAACCAACACAAACAUUGACCUUAAGACCUCUUAUCAGAACACUGGGUAUAAAGAUAAAUCGCUGCAGGUAGACUUUUAGGAUUCAAAUAAUAUCAAAGACCCUGAGGUUGAUCAUAACAUGUAUAGAACACUUAAGAAGACCACUACUAGGAUACAGUCAAGCAGAAGUUAUAAUUUGCAAAUGGCUGAUUACAUGCUACUAGUAGAUAUGCUCCAUUUACAAUUUUAAGGUCAGGGAUAUCAUGUUAAGAAGUCUAAGAUAUCAGUGGUUGACAAAGAUAAACAUGUAUACUUAUUUUGUCAUCCUCCCCAAGGUCCAAUACUUCAUAACCUUUCCUAAGGAGGUUCAGAUCACUAGAACGUGUUCCAAAACACUAUGACAACUUUCUGAGUAGUUUUAACAAGUAUGCACAUAACUGGGACUUUAUUUCAUUGAGCACUUAUGCUAACAAUAUUACUUAGAGUUCCCAAAGGUCAUACUAAUCAACUAGGUCAAGAGAGACAUCAACAUGAAUACAAAGACUAUCCUUAGUUUCAUUUAAUCUUUAUGGGCAUGGUAUCCAAUCAUGAUAAUGUGUAGUGUAUCAAGUUUUUUCAAUUUAUCAAAAUCAAAUAAUACUCAGAUUCAUGAUUGAAUGCUUCCACAAACAGUGAUGUCAAACAGCCAUGAGAUAGCAAAUAAUGACACCCAUUGCAUGGUUGUCUAAACAAGACAAGCAGAUCACAACAAGUUACAUCUAGUUAUGUGUGCAGGUUUCCUAAUAUGCUAACAAGGUUCAUCAUAUGAUUUUCUUUUAUACAGGUUGUCAUUAUAGGCACAUAUGAACCAUUCUAUUAGAGCAACAUAGUGUCAUGAACAAAACUGUCAACUAGAGUUAUCUAGGCAAACAUGCCAACAUGAGAAGCAUGAGAAGAACCUUUAAUGAGAAUCAUUCAUUGAACUAAACCAAUGUAACAUAAUAUCAUAGGCAGGAAGAUUAGGAGAACACAUUUUUGGAGGUGUGAAUGUCUUAACAGGAUAUCAGGAAAAGUUCAAGGGCAUAAUUCAGUUAUCUUAGUCAACAUGACAGUGUAAAUGUAGCUAUUACUCAAUCAAACAGGGAUAUACUACAUGCUAUUACUAACAUGGUUUAGUUCAACUAGCAUGAAGGCUCAACAUAAUUUGUUUAUAACCGUAACAAUUGUGUAAAAUCAUUUGACUAGUUAAGUCAUGAAAAGUAAAGUCAAUAACCAUCAUAAAUUGAAUAACAAACACAAAGACACCAUAACUAUCAGAAGACACCACUAAUCUCAAAAUAAAUGAAUUACAUGAAAAGAAAGACAUAGCAAGAAAAUCCACAUAUUACUAAUGUAUAUCAUGAACAACAGGUGAUUAACAGGUAAACAUCAUAAACACAAAACUGCAUAACUAGUUUAAGAAAUAAAGAGGGGGGUCAGUGUGCACUGACCUUCUUCAGAGCAGCAAACCAAGUAAAUAAAGUUAGUAGCUGUCUAAGAGUCCGAACUCACAAUAAUCAACUUAUAGUAAUUAACUCGAGCGGGAAUGAAAGGAAGAAAAGAGAAAUUAAAUAAGUGCUUCCGAAUACUUAAACUACCAGAAAGUUCUUAGAUCUUUAGUGUGUGUGUGUUCAUUCAAUGCUUCUUUUCAUUUUUUCAAUAUUGUUUUAUUAGGUGAGAGCAUUCAAAGCUCUAUUUAUAGAGGCAUUUAAUCAUUAGGGUUCCUUUCGAAUUCAAGGAGAUAGUAGGUGAUGACGAGAAAUCGAUGAUGAUAGCAAGAAGUUAAAAAUAGAAGGAAAUCAGAGGGGGAAAUCAGAGUGUACUUUACCUUGAAGAAACUCGGCCGUUGGAGACUGAAGGACCGUUGGUCACAGCUUCAUAUUUGGAUGUCACUGUGUUUGACCGCUGGACAACGAAUAGUGAUUAUAAGGACAAAGAUUCAUGGUCCUGCAUGCUUUGAUUUGACUGAACUGGGGAGGGAAUAAUGAUAUUCUUGUUUGCAUUUUUAGGUCUAUGGUUUCAUUGAUUUUGGAGUCGAAUCAAGAUGAUGAAAAGGGAAGGAAAUCCGGUGAGAUUCUCGGAUUGAAGAGAUAAUAGGGCUUAUUUGAGUAAACUUGACACGAAUUUGUGUAAGGUCCAGGAUUGAUAGAGGCUUGCAUAGUUGAGAGAAAAUGGAAAAGAAAGGGAUAGAGGGGCGGUG
rnacentral:lncRNA from 1 species